AAAGUCGACUCAACUCUCAUUGGCUCAUCCUCUCAUGUUGAAUGGGAGGAUGCUGUACACAUUAUCCCAGAAAAUGAAAGUGAUGAUGAGGAAGAGGAAGAAAAAGGGCCAGUGUCUCCCAGGAAUCUGCAGGAGUCUGAAGAGGAGGAAGUCCCCCAGGAGUCCUGGGAUGAAGGUUAUUCGACUCUCUCAAUUCCUCCUGAAAUGUUGGCCUCGUACAAGUCUUACAGCGGCACAUUUCACUCAUUAGAGGAACAGCAAGUCUGCAUGGCUGUUGACAUAGGCGGACAUCGGUGGGAUCAAGUGAAAAAGGAGGACCAAGAGGCAACAGGUCCCAGGCUCAGCAGGGAGCUGCUGGAUGAGAAAGGGCCUGAAGUCUUGCAGGACUCACUGGAUAGAUGUUAUUCAACUCCUUCAGGUUAUCUUGAACUGACUGACUCAUGCCAGCCCUACAGAAGUGCCUUUUACAUAUUGGAGCAACAGCGUGUUGGCUGGGCUCUUGACAUGGAUGAAAUUGAAAAGUACCAAGAA
rnacentral:lncRNA from 1 species